AAACUAAUCGAGAUAGGUGUAAACGGAGGUCGGAGCCAGCUCCAAAUGGGCGGGUCAGCUCCAAAUGGGUGGGACUUCAGCUCCAAGUGGGCUGUACAAACCUCCAGAGCCUUUUGAUUGGUUUAUUUAAUGUCAUGGGGUUAAUGCACGCUGCUAAUCCCCCCCUCCCUACAAAAAAAAACAAAAACAAAAAAAAAGACAACGUCAAUUUCCCAAGGCUUUUCAGCAUCAAGAAAGAGGAGUUUGAAGGGGAUUUACGCUGCAGAUUACGGACACUGAAGACCAUAAGCAGAAAGUUCAAGUCUGGGUGGCCAAAAGUUACAUUUCGGUGAUCUGCUUACCCAAAGGAUCACUUUCCUCAGCGGAUCUACCCCAAUCAUCAUUAACGGGACCACAGUGAAGAGAGUAAGCAUCUUCAAAUACCUUCAAAUGCCCUGCAAAGAGUAGCAGAGCACAUGUCCAGAACAUCUCUCCCCUCUCUGCAAGACAUCCAAACCAGGAGCUGUAAAUCUAGGGCUGUUAAGAUCCUUAAAGACCCCACCAACCCAUCUGCUACAGUCAGGCAGACGCUUCUGCAGUCUGAUGGCAAAGACGGAGAGGCUAAGGAGGAGUUUCUUCCCUCAUGUUAUCAGACUACUAAACAUGGACAUUAAACACACUGCACUUUAUACACUGGUUGUUUAGGGCUACAAUAACUCUCUGCACACUGCGCUUUUUUGACAACCUAACUAGGCAUUUCAUCCUCACUGCACAUUGUUUACAUCUCUGCACAUCAUCUGUGUAGCAGUUUCUGUGUAGCAUCUCUACAAAUCAUCUGUGUAGAAGUUUAAUACAGUAUAUUGUGUAUAUUUCAUUAUUUGUAUUUAAUUA